AAUAUUAAAUGUGAGGGCUAUCCCGUGUGUGUUACAUAGAUGAAUUGAUUGACUGUAAUCAUUAGCCACAGAAUUUAAGUGGCAUGUUCACACAAUUCUAGCUUUGCUCCUCUCGUUUCCUUUGUUGUCUCAGGCUAUCUGAGACAGAAGAAUCUUAACGUUUCUUGCUUGCACACCAUUGUCUGUCUCUUCUCUGUGCCUUCCUUCAGUCUAAUUUAAAGCAUUGUAACUGCUGUGAAUACCUGUAUGGAUUCACAUGGAGAAAAGUGUCUGUGUUAAAGAUAAACAAUUGUUCCUGUUAGACUAGAGCAAACCCUUCGUGCCCUGUGUGAAAACCUGUUAAAGUGUUAUUAUAGGGUGCUUUGGUAUUAGUUUGUGGUACCAAACAACAAACAACACCAAAGCAUGCACAGAUAAAGCUGGUGCUCUGAUCUUUGUUUAAACAGGUCAUGGUUUUUCUUUAAUGCUGUCUGCUCAUUACAGGAACUGUCAGCAGAAAUGUAAAGCGGACCGGAGUUCUGAUUUGGAAUACAUUGCCUAUUCUGACAUCAGUGUUUCUGCUUCUUGACUUAAUGAUUACAGUGUUGUUCAUGAUCAUAUUUAUCUAACCGAAUUCAUUGUAAAGAAUUAGAAAAAAAAAAGUCCAUGUUAUGUUCUCUUAGGGAAGGAAUAUGAUCAGAUCUGCUGCCUCAGAUGCUGUCCCUCUCACCUGAAGAGUUACACAGGAGAGGGCUUUUCUCUAUUGUAGCAGAACGUGCAGUGGUAUAUGGAAAGGUUUCUGUUUUUUAAGUCAGCUAGAGUUAUGCCACUGAAUUAUGAGAAAGCUCACGUUCCUUAGAACCAGCUGACCACUUAAUUGAUGUAGAUGCUGUCUGUGAGAAGAAACUAUCAGUGAAUAAAAAUCUGUCGUGAUGCAGUAUAUUCUCCUGACCUUUCAGGUUCAGUUAAUCUAUCACACGUGUAGUCCAGCUUCUCUUACAGCAGGUUUUUCAAAGAGAGGUGUGCUGAUUAGGUAAGAUGUCAUGGUCUUUUCCCGUCGAUGUAGGAAGAUAGCAGAUAUGAUUGCCUGAAAAAGCAGAGCUACCCAGUGCAAGCAUGGCUUUCGCCCAGUCGCACAUUAUGGCAGCUAGAAGGCAUCAGCACAGUAGACUCAUAAUUGAAGUGGAUGAGUACAGCUCCAACCCCACACAGGCUUUCACGUUCUACAACAUUAACCAGGGACGUUUUCAGCCCCCACAUGUGCAAAUGGUUGAUCCGGUGCCCCAUGAUGCUCCCAAACCUCCAGGGUAUACUCGAUUUGUCUGCAUUUCUGAUACUCACUCGAGAACUGAUCCCAUCCAAAUGCCAUAUGGAGAUGUGUUAAUACAUGCUGGUGAUUUCACUGAGCUGGGACUUCCUAGUGAAGUAAAAAAAUUCAACGAGUGGCUAGGUAGGUACUGAAAUCUGUGUGGAU